rnacentral:rRNA from 2 species
UAGGGAAUCUUCGGCAAUGGGGGGAACCCUGACCGAGCAACGCCGCGUGAGUGAGGAAGGUUUUCGGAUCGUAAAGCUCUGUUGUUAAGGAAGAACGAGUGUGAGAAUGGAAAGUUCAUGCUGUGACGGUACUUAACCAGAAAGGGACGGCUAACUACGUGCCAGCAGCCGCGGUAAUACGUAGGUCCCGAGCGUUGUCCGGAUUUAUUGGGCGUAAAGCGAGCGCAGGCGGUUAGAAAAGUCUGAAGUGAAAGGCAGUGGCUCAACCAUUGUAGGCUUUGGAAACUGUUUAACUUGAGUGCAGAAGGGGAGAGUGGAAUUCCAUGUGUAGCGGUGAAAUGCGUAGAUAUAUGGAGGAACACCGGUGGCGAAAGCGGCUCUCUGGUCUGUAACUGACGCUGAGGCUCGAAAGCGUGGGGAGCGAACAGG